rnacentral:tRNA from 1 species
GGCUCCGUAGUUCAGUGUUUAGAGCACUGGUCUUGUAAACCAGGGGUCGUGAGUUCAUAUCUCACCAGGGGCA